rnacentral:tRNA from 2 species
GUCACGAUCAGUCUAAGGUUGAAAUCUGGAUGGUCUUGCCAGACGCGCUGGUUCGAGUCCAGCUCGUGACA